rnacentral:rRNA from 1 species
AACGAACGCUGGCGGCAUGCCUAACACAUGCAAGUCGAACGAGACCUUCGGGUCUAGUGGCGCACGGGUGCGUAACGCGUGGGAACCUGCCCUUAGGUUCGGAAUAACUCCCCGAAAGGGGUGCUAAUACCGGAUAAUGUCUUCGGACCAAAGAUUUAUCGACUUUGGAUGGGCCCGCGUUGUAUUAGCUAGUUGGUAGGGUAAAAGCCUACCAAGGCGACGAUCCAUAGCUGGUCUGAGAGGAUGAUCAGCCACACUGGGACUGAGACACGGCCCAGACUCCUACGGGAGGCAGCAGUGGGGAAUAUUGGACAAUGGGCGAAAGCCUGAUCCAGCAAUGCCGCGUGAGUGAUGAAGGCCUUAGGGUUGUAAAGCUCUUUUACCCGGGAUGAUAAUGACAGUACCGGGAGAAUAAGCUCCGGCUAACUCCGUG